rnacentral:rRNA from 1 species
AGCGAACGUUAGCGGCGGGCCUAACACAUGCAAGUCGAGCGAGAAAGGGGCUUCGGCCCCGAGUAAAGCGGCGGACGGGUGAGUAACACGUAGGUAAUCUUCCUUCGAGCGGGGGACAACGGUCCGAAAGGACCGCUAAUACCGCAUACGUUUCUCGGGACCUCGGUCCUGGGAAGGAAAGCUAGGUAGCAAUAUCCGGCACUCGAUGAGGAGCCUGCGUCGCAUCAGCUAGUUGGUGGGGUAAUGGCCACCAAGGCGAAGACGCGUAGCUGGUCUGAGAGGAUGAUCAGCCACACUGGGACUGAGACACGGCCCAGACUCCUACGGGAGGCAGCAGUGGGGAAUAUUGGACAAUGGGCGCAAGCCUGAUCCAGCCACGCCGCGUGAGUGAUGAAGGCC